rnacentral:rRNA from 1 species
UACAGAGGUCUCAAGCGUUGUUCGGAUUCACUGGGCGUAAAGGGUGCGUAGGCGGCGCGGUAAGUCGGGUGUGAAAUCUCGGAGCUUAACUUCGAAACUGCAUUCGAUACUGCCGUGCUUGAGGACUGGAGAGGAGACUGGAAUUUACGGUGUAGCGGUGAAAUGCGUAGAUAUCGUAAGGAAGACCAGUGGCGAAGGCGGGUCUCUGGACAGUUCCUGACGCUGAGGCACGAAGGUCAGGGGAGCAAACGGG